rnacentral:rRNA from 1 species
AGUGAACGCUGGCGGUAGGCCUAACACAUGCAAGUCGAACGGCAGCACAGUAAGAUCUUGCUCUUACGGGUUGCGAGUGGCGGACGGGUGAGGAAUACAUCGUAAUCUACUUUUUCGUGGGGGAUAACGUAGGUAAACUUACUCUAAUACCGCAUACGACCUACGGUUGAAAGCAGUGGAUCUUCGGACCUUGCGCGAUUGAAUGAGCCGAUGUCGGAUUAGCUAGUUGGCGGGGUAAAGGCCCACCAAGGCGACGAUCCGUAGCUCGUCUGAGAGGAUGGUCGGCCACACUGGAGCUGGAACACGGACCAGGCGCCUGAGGGACGGAGCAGUGGGGAAUGUUAGGCAGUAGGCGCGAGCAUGAUCCAGCCAUACCGCGUGGGUGAAAGAAGCGUUCCGGUUGUGAAGCCCUUUUGUUGGGAAAGAAACGCAGCAGCUUAAUACCAAGCUGUUGUGACGGUACCCAAAGAAUAAGCACCGGCUAACUUCGUG